rnacentral:tRNA from 1 species
CAGGGGGUAUUUUAUUUAAAAUGUUAGUUUUGGGGACUAUUGAAAUGGUACAAUGCCUUUCCUCUGA